ACUACAAGAAAAGUGUUAAAUACCGAAGGUAUUUUUCCGAAGGCCAAGGGGCCGUCGGUAAAAGUUCCUUACCGAGGGCCAAAAAAUCACUUUCCGAAGGGCAACAUGAAAUAAUGUUUCCGACGGUCAAGAAGACCUUAGCGAGGGCUCUGUGUCCUUCGGUAAGGGUCUCGACCAAUUAAACUCAGCGAUUGAGGGUUUUCGUGCAGGUCGUCCCCAAUUUGCUCAAACAGAAACCCUUCCUCCCCUAUGUUGAGAACUGUUGAGAAAUUUGGUUUCAUUGUGUGCCUACGAUUCGUCGCGUUGCUGUGGGUGUCGAGUGGGGUGGUGGUUCGUGGUUAUCGGCGAGGCUUGUGCGGUGGGUGGGGUGGUGAAGCCCGAGAUUCGCUGUUGGGUUGAGAGCUCGCGGUGUCGCUCGGCUUCCAUUGAGUUGGGUGUUCUAGAGUGGGAGGUAAGUUCUCUGUUUUAGAACGCUACUUGAAUAAAUUAAUUGCCUUGUUCUUCCCUGCUUGUGUGCAAUGUGUCCAUCAAAUUGGGUGUUUCCCUGUUCUUACCAAUAUGCGUGAAGUUGUUUGCACUGUGAAUAUUUCUUCUUUGGCACCUUAUAUGUAUUGUGUGAUAAUGUGAGUUGUUUGGCUUAUAUCGGGGUUUUGGGUUGAGAUUGUGAGCACAACGGGGAGACAAGGCAGGUUAGUACGUUCCAUGUUUUCUGUUCAAUUCCUAUAUGGCAUUCUGUGUACUAGAACUUAUUCUGUUAUUGUUGGGCUGUUAGUUUUGAUUCCUCUUGAUUUUGUUUGGAGCUUGGAAUAAGUUUUGGGGGCUGUUUUGGUAUUGCUGUAAGCAUAACGGAAAUUGGUAAAUC
rnacentral:lncRNA from 1 species